rnacentral:ncRNA from 2 species
UGCAGCAACCGAAUAUGUGUCAAUAUAGUUUCGGAUAGAUGGCCCGAAUGUUUCUACCGUAACGCCGACCAGUUACGACUAUUGAUUCAAACUAAGCACGA